rnacentral:rRNA from 1 species
CCAUUUUUGUAAGUCGAUUUAGUCUUGUCUAAGAGUGGGUAAAUAGUUGGUCGAUUUAGUUGGCGGACGGGUGAGUAAGCUGGGAACCGUGCCCUGUACAGGGGAGUAACACUUAGAAUAGGUGCUAUACCGCAUAAGCGCACAGUAUCGCAUGAUACAGUGUGAAAACUCCGGUGGUACAGGAUGGACCCGCGUCUGAUUAGCUGGUUGGCGGGGUAACGGCCCGACCAAGGCGACGAUCAGUAGCCGGCCUGAGAGGGUGAACGGCCACAUUGGGACUGAGACACGGCCCAAACUCCUACGGGAGGCAGCAGUGGGGAAUAUUGUACAAUGGGGGGAACCCUGAUCCAGCGACGCCGCGGGAGUGAAGAAGUAUUUCGGUAUGUAAAGCUCUAUCAGCAGGGAAGAAAAUGACGGUACCUGACUAAGAAGCCCCGGCUAACUACGUG